UGCCGACUCUCAUCCACACUCUCCAGGUCAGAGAAAUUGACAGAGUUAAUAGCAGGUAUUGGAUUAAAAUACCCACUAUCAGUUGAAGGCAUGAUCAGGCAAUAAAGGCAACCAGGAAUAGUGCUAUGAUACUGUUUCUUUAGACCUUCCCGUAGAGCUAUUUAAUGCUCUCACAUAACAAACAAAGAACUAAACAUAAUGAUAAAAGAAUUUAGGAGUACAUAACUUGCAGAAUGCAAAACAAAAGGGUAUCAACUUCUAAUGAUUAAUCCACAUA
rnacentral:misc_RNA from 1 species